GGAAGCGGCGUCUUCCUAGAACCGCGGGCUGAGCGGUGGGGCCCGGGCGGGGUGCGCGGGCGCCGUCGCCGGGUCUGGGGCCCUGAGCAGUGAAAGGAAAUACUUUGACAGAUUUCCAAGAACUUUCCAGGAAAACGGGGCGGGGCCCCGCGAGCUGACCAAUCGCGACGCUGAAGGUGGAGCCGAGCGGUCGGGGAGGGCCAAUAGCAGCGCGUGGACCAGGGGCUGAAGCUACCCAGCGGGGCAGGGAGUACUUGCUGCAUUUGAUCCUCUACAACUGGUGUUGCUCCCGUUAUGCGGACAGAAGACAGCCCCAGGGAACAAAUGCUAGGAAAUGGCAGGGUGAGAAAACUGAGGCAUAGAGAGGUUACAAUAUAACUUAGAUCUCCCAGCUGGCAAGUAAUGGUUUAAGCCAGGAGCCUACACACUUCCUCCUACUUCCUCUAUGGGUGCUGGUGAUCUGCCGACUCCUAGACAUCCAGCUUUAAGGUCCUCAGUGAAGCUUCUCUGCCCCCAGGCCUGUCCAUGUCAGAGCACCAUGGGUGUCCCUUUGAAAGUGUCUCCUACAGGUCUGUGAUUAUGCGGUCUAUGUGUAAACCAAAGGGUUCCAAGA